GAGAUUGUGGCUCAGUGGUAGAGUGCUCGCCUAGCAUGUGUGAGGCCCUGGGUUCAAUCCUCAGCACCACA
rnacentral:tRNA from 1 species